rnacentral:rRNA from 1 species
UGUUUUGUUAUUUAUUUGUUGUGAUUGCUUAUAUUUUUAUUGAAAUAUCAUUUUGGUUGUUGUAAUUUUUUGAUUUAAUUUUUUGUACGAUAGUUUAUUUUUACUGUGAGGGUUCAUUGGGAGUUUGUUUCUUGAAGUUGAUUUUGUUUGUUGUACCUUGUGUAUCAGGGUUCAUUGAAUUUUAUUAUUUAUUUUUAUUUCCCGAUUUCAAGAUAAAGGAGUUAGUAGCUUAUGUUAGUUGUUGUUUCAUUAACAUUAAUAAUGGGUUAUUGGUAGUGAAAUGUUAUUCGUCUUUGGUGGUUUCUGGUUUUCCAAGAAAUGAAUUUAAUUCAUGCAUCUUAUUUAAUUUCUGUUGUUUUUCUAUUUAUUUUUAUCUGAUGUUAAGAUCAAGGGGGAUUAGCUCUUUGUUUUAUUUGUUAUAAUGUGUUGGUGUUAAUUUAGUUUUGUGGAUUUUAUAGUGAUUUUCGGUUUGAUUAUGUUAAAAUUUUAUUUGCUUUUUUAUUUAUUUUAUGUUAUUUAAUUUAUUUAUUGGAUUGUUUUCUUUACCUUUGGUUUGGAUAGUAAUUAUUAUGUAAUUAGUAAAUCUUGUUUGUUGUUGUUGAUGGUUUAUGGGUGUUAAUUUCUUUUUAGGAAUUAGGCAAAAGUUUUAUCAUGUCCGCCUGUUUAACAAAAACAUCUCUUCUUGUAAGUUUUUGAAGUAUGGCCUGCCCGCUGAUAUUUAGUUGAAGGGCCGCGGUAUUUUGACCGUGCAAAGGUAGCAUAAUCAUUAGUUCUUUAAUUGUGAUCUGGUAUGAAUGGCUUGACGAGAUAUGAGCUGUCUUUAUAGUAUUGUUUAUUGAAUUUGGAGUUUGGGUUAAAAUUCCUAGAUGUUUUUAUGGGACGAGAAGACCCUAUAGAGUUUAACACCUCUUGUUGCUUAUUUGUUGUUCGUUUAUUUUUAUAGUGGAUUAAGGUGUUUUGUUGGGGUGAUGGGAGGAAUUUUUUUAACUCCUCUUUGUUAUUGUAUAUUUGUGUAUAGUUUUUUGAUCCUUUAUUUUGAUUAUAAGAUUAAAUUACCUUAGGGAUAACAGCGUUAUCUUCCCUGAGAGUUCUUAUUGGCGGGGGGGUUUGCGACCUCGAUGUUGGAUUAAGGUGAAUUUUUGGUGUAGGAGCUGAAAGUGAUUAGGUCUGUUCGACCUUUAAAAUCUUACAUGAUCUGAGUUCAGACCGGCGUGAGCCAGGUUGGUUUCUAUCUAUAAUACUAUUUAUAUCUUAGUACGAGAGGACCGGGUAUUUGGAAUAAUUUUAGUUGUAUAUUGAUUAUUAUUAAUGUGUU